AGGGACAUCGAGGUCUUCCAGGUGUGGACGGUGUGCCAGGUACCCAAGGUGAAAAGGGAGAGCGAGGGGCCGCUGGUGAGCCAGGUCCUCCUGGACGUCCAGGAGAUGAUGGUCAGCGAGGACCAAUUGGAUUCCCUGGAACUCAUGGUGAUAAAGGAGAUCGGGGUCCUCCUGGAUUCAACGGGAUCCCAGGACCCACUGGACCACCAGGAUCACCAG